AUACGUAGGGGGCGAGCGUUGUCCGAAGUUACUGGGCGUAAAGCGCGCGUAGGCGGUCGCUUAAGUUGGAUGUGAAAUCCUGGGGCCCAACCCCAGAACUGCAUCCAAAACUGGGCGACUUGAGGACGGGAGAGGGCAGUGGAAUUCCUGGUGUAGCGGUGAAAUGCGUAGAUAUCAGGAGGAACACCCGUGGCGAAGGCGGCUGCCUGGUCCGUAUCUGACGCUGAGGCGCGAAAGCUAGGGGAGCGAACGGGAUUAGAUACCCCGGUAGUCCUAGCCGUAAACGAUGGAUACUAGGUGUAAGUGGUAUCGACCCCACUUGUGCCGCAGCUAACGCAUUAAGUAUCCCGCCUGGGGAGUACGGCCGCAAGGUUGAA
rnacentral:rRNA from 1 species